rnacentral:rRNA from 1 species
GAUGAACGCUGGCGGCGUGCCUAAUACACGCAAGUCGAGCGAACAGACGAGGAGCUUGCUCCUUUGACGUUAGCGGCGGACGGGUGAGUAACACGUAGGUAACCUACCUAUAAGACUGGGAUAACUUCGGGAAACCGGAGCUAAUACCGGAUAAUAUUUCGAACCGCAUGGUUCGAUAGUGAAAGAUGGCUUUGCUAUCACUUAUAGAUGGACCUGCGCCGUAUUAGCUAGUUGGUAAGGUAACGGCUUACCAAGGCAACGAUACGUAGCCGACCUGAGAGGGUGAUCGGCCACACUGGAACUGAGACACGGUCCAGACUCCUACGGGAGGCAGCAGUAGGGAAUCUUCCGCAAUGGGCGAAAGCCUGACGGAGCAACGCCGCGUGAGUGAUGAAGGUCUUCGGAUCGUAAAACUCUGUUAUUAGGGAAGAACAAAAGUGUAAGUAACUGUGCACGUCUUGACGGUACCUAAUCAGAAAGCCACGGCUAACUACGUG